AAAAAUUUAGUUUAAAAUAAAAUAUUAAUUUGUCAAAUUAAAGUUAUUAAAAAAAUAAUUUUUG
rnacentral:tRNA from 1 species